CCUUUCGAACAACUAGAAAUGUUAUGAUGUAUCGUUGGUCCGGCGUACGACGGCGCCUGGUGCGAUUUAUGCGCCCGGAAGCCCUUUCAGCCUCCAGGCAUGUCCCCACCUGCCUCACAGCCACCGACGCAUCUCACGGCGGGGUUCUAAUUGCGUGCGCGUAUGGAUGCUCCUAUUCCUGCCGCCUUUCUAGCAACUAGUUAUGUUAUUAUGCAUCGUUGGUCCGGCGUACGACGGCGCCUGGUGCGAUUUAUGCGUCCGGAAGCCCUUUCAGCCUCACAGGCAUGUCCCCACCUGCCUCACAGCCGCUGACGCAUCUCACGGCGGGGGUCUAAUUGCGUGCGCGUAUGGAUGCUCCUAUUCCUGCCGCCUUUCUAACAGCUAGUUACUGUUAUGAUGCAUCGUUGGUCCGGCGUACGACGGCGCCUGGUGCGAUUUAUGCGUCCGGAAGCCCUUUCAGCCUCACAGGCAUGUCCCCACCUGCCUCACAGCCGCCGACGCAUCUCACGGCGGGGGUCUAAUUGCGUGCGCGUAUGGAUGCUCCUAUUCCUGCCGCCUUUCUAGCAACUAGUUAUGUUAUGAUGCAUCGUUGGUCCGGCGUACGACGGCGCCUGGUGCGAUUUAUGCGCCCGGAAGCCCUUUCAGCCUCCAGGCAUGUCCCCACCUGCCUCACAGCCACCGACGCAUCUCACGGCGGGGUUCUAAUUGCGUGCGCGUAUGGAUGCUCCUAUUCCACCGCCUUUCGAACAACUAGAAAUGUUAUGAUGUAUCGUUGGUCCGGCGUACGACGGCGCCUGGUGCGAUUUAUGCGCCCGGAAGCCCUUUCAGCCUCCAGGCAUGUCCCCACCUGCCUCACAGCCACCGACGCAUCUCACGGCGGGGUUCUAAUGAGGUGCGCGUAUGGAUGCUCCUUAACCCACCGCCUUUCGAACAACUAGAAAUGUUAUGAUGUAUCGUUGGUCCGGCGUACGACGGCGCCUGGUGCGAUUUAUGCGCCCGGAAGCCCUUUCAGCCUCCAGGCAUGUCCCCACCUGCCUCACAGCCACCGACGCAUCUCACGGCGGGGUUCUAAUUGCGUGCGCGUAUGGAUGCUCCUAUUCCUGCCGCCUUUCUAGCAACUAGUUAUGUUAUUAUGCAUCGUUGGUCCGGCGUACGACGGCGCCUGGUGCGAUUUAUGCGUCCGGAAGCCCUUUCAGCCUCACAGGCAUGUCCCCACCUGCCUCACAGCCGCUGACGCAUCUCACGGCGGGGGUCUAAUGAGGUGCGCGUAUGGAUGCUCCUAUUCCUGCCGCCUUUCUAACAGCUAGUUACUGUUAUGAUGCAUCGUUGGUCCGGCGUACGACGGCGCCUGGUGCGAUUUAUGCGUCCGGAAGCCCUUUCAGCCUCACAGGCAUGUCCCCACCUGCCUCACAGCCGCCGACGCAUCUCACGGCGGGGGUCUAAUUGCGUGCGCGUAUGGAUGCUCCUAUUCCUGCCGCCUUUCUAGCAACUAGUUAUGUUAUGAUGCAUCGUUGGUCCGGCGUACGACGGCGCCUGGUGCGAUUUAUGCGCCCGGAAGCCCUUUCAGCCUCCAGGCAUGUCCCCACCUGCCUCACAGCCACCGAC
rnacentral:lncRNA from 1 species